GUUUGAAAUCCAACCUGAUAUACAUGAUUUGUUCCACUAGGCUACUGGCUGAUUUAAGUAGAAUUCAGAUGCUGAAAUCUAAUCCCCAAUGAGUUGGUAUUAAGAGGUGAAGGCUUUGGGACGUCACAAGGUCAUGAGGGUGGACCCCUCAUUAAUUGGAUUUGUGCUCUUAAAAAGAGGCCCAAGAGAGAUUUUUUGCCGCUUUUACCACGUGAGCAAGAAGCACCAUCUUAGAAGUAGAGAGUGGGCCCUCACUAGACACUGAAUCUGCUGACACCUUGAACUUGGACUUCCUAACCUCGAGAACACUGAG
rnacentral:lncRNA from 1 species